rnacentral:rRNA from 1 species
GGGGGACCAUCCUCCAAGGCUAAAUACUACUGACUGACCGAUAGUGAACUAGUACCGUGAGGGAAAGGCGAAAAGAACCCCGGAGAGGGGAGUGAAAUAGAUCCUGAAACCGUAUGCGUACAAGCAGUGGGAGCCCACUUUGUUGGGUGACUGCGUACCUUUUGUAUAAUGGGUCAGCGACUUAUUUUCAGUGGCGAGCUUAACCGAAUAGGGGAGGCGUAGCGAAAGCGAGUCUUAAUAGGGCGUCUAGUCGCUGGGAAUAGACCCGAAACCGGGCGAUCUAUCCAUGGGCAGGUUGAAGGUUAGGUAACACUGACUGGAGGACCGAACCGACUACCGUUGAAAAGUUAGCGGAUGACCUGUGGAUCGGAGUGAAAGGCUAAUCAAGCUCGGAGAUAGCUGGUUCUCCUCGAAAGCUAUUUAGGUAGCGCCUCAUGUAUCACUGUAGGGGGUAGAGCACUGUUUCGGCUAGGGGGUCAUCCCGACUUACCAAACCGAUGCAAACUCCGAAUACCUACAAGUGCCGAGCAUGGGAGACACACGGCGGGUGCUAACGUCCGUCGUGAAAAGGGAAACAACCCAGACCGUCAGCUAAGGUCCCAAAGUUAUGGUUAAGUGGGAAACGAUGUGGGAAGGCUUAGACAGCUAGGAGGUUGGCUUAGAAGCAGCCACCCUUUAAAGAAAGCGUAAUAGCUCACUAGUCGAGUCGGCCUGCGCGGAAGAUGUAACGGGGCUCAAACCAUACACCGAAGCUACGGGUAUCACGUAAGUGAUGCGGUAGAGGAGCGUUCUGUAAGCCUGUGAAGGUGAGUUGAGAAGCUUGCUGGAGGUAUCAGAAGUGCGAAUGCUGACAUGAGUAACGACAAUGGGUGUGAAAAACACCCACGCCGAAAGACCAAGGUUUCCUGCGCAACGUUAAUCGACGCAGGGUUAGUCGGUCCCUAAGGCGAGGCUGAAAAGCGUAGUCGAUGGAAAACAGGUUAAUAUUCCUGUACUUCUGGUUAUUGCGAUGGAGGGACGGAGAAGGCUAGGCCAGCUUGGCGUUGGUUGUCCAAGUUUAAGGUGGUAGGCUGAAAUCUUAGGUAAAUCCGGGGUUUCAAGGCCGAGAGCUGAUGACGAGUUACCCUCUGGGUGACGAAGUGGUUGAUGCCAUGCUUCCAAGAAAAGCUUCUAAGCUUCAGAUAACCAGGAACCGUACCCCAAACCGACACAGGUGGUUGGGUAGAGAAUACCAAGGCGCUUGAGAGAACUCGGGUGAAGGAACUAGGCAAAAUGGCACCGUAACUUCGGGAGAAGGUGCGCCGGUGAGGGUGAAGCACUUGCUGCGUAAGCCCACGCCGGUCGAAGAUACCAGGCCGCUGCGACUGUUUAUUAAAAACACAGCACUCUGCAAACACGAAAGUGGACGUAUAGGGUGUGACGCCUGCCCGGUGCCGGAAGGUUAAUUGAUGGGGUUAGCUAACGCGAAGCUCUUGAUCGAAGCCCCGGUAAACGGCGGCCGUAACUAUAACGGUCCUAAGGUAGCGAAAUUCCUUGUCGGGUAAGUUCCGACCUGCACGAAUGGCGUAACGAUGGCGGCGCUGUCUCCACCCGAGACUCAGUGAAAUUGAAAUCGCUGUGAAGAUGCAGUGUAUCCGCGGCUAGACGGAAAGACCCCGUGAACCUUUACUAUAGCUUUGCACUGGACUUUGAAUUUGCUUGUGUAGGAUAGGUGGGAGGCUUUGAAGCGUGGACGCCAGU